UACGGGGGGGGCAAGCGUUGUUCGGAAUUACUGGGCGUAAAGGGCUCGUAGGUGGCCAACUAAGUCAGAUGUGAAAUCCCUCGGCUUAACCGGGGAACUGCGUCUGAUACUGGAUGGCUUGAGUUCGGGAGAGGGAUGCGGAAUUCCAGGUGUAGCGGUGAAAUGCGUAGAUAUCUGGAGGAACACCGGUGGCGAAGGCGGCAUCCUGGACCGACACUGACGCUGAGGAGCGAAAGCCAGGGGAGCAAACGGG
rnacentral:rRNA from 1 species